AAUUGACGGGACCCGCACAAGCGGUGGAUGAUGUGGUUUAAUUCGAUGCAACGCGAAAAACCUUACCCACCUUUGACAUGUACGGAACCCUUUAGAGAUAGAGGGUGCUCGAAAGAGAACCUGCACACAGGUGCUGCAUGGCUGUCGUCAGCUCGUGUCGUGAGAUGUUGGGUUAAGUCCCGCAACGAGCGCAACCCUUGCCAUUAGUUGCUACGAAAGGGCACUCUAAUGGGACUGCCGGUGACAAACCGGAGGAAGGUGGGGAUGACGUCAAGUCCUCAUGGCCCUUAUAGGUGGGGCUACACACGUCAUACAAUGGCCGGUACAGAGGGUAGCCAACCCGCGAGGGGGAGCCAAUCCCACAAAGCCGGUCGUAGUCCGGAUCGCAGUCUGCAACUCGACUGCGUGAAGUCGGAAUCGCUAGUAAUCGCGGAUCAGCAUGUCGCGGUGAAUACGUUCCCGGGUCUU
rnacentral:rRNA from 1 species